rnacentral:rRNA from 1 species
AAAAUCCGUCGGAAUAAUGCUGGGGUACGAUGCGGAGCGAAAUUAAGUAGCGAAGUAGCUGAUUUCACACUGUCGAGAAAAGUCUCUAUCGAGGUUAAAGGUGCCUGUACCGCAAACCGACAUAGGUGGGUGAGGAGAGUAUCCUAAGGCCAGCGAGAGAACUGUUGUUAAGGAACUCGGCAAAAUGACCCCGUAACUUAGGGAGAAGGGGUGCCUUCGAAAGAAGGCCGCAGAGAAUAGGCCCAAGCGACUGUUUACCAAAAACAUAGGUUUCUGCUAAGUCGCAAGACGAUGUAUAGGAGCUGACGCCUGCCCGGUGCUGGAAGGUUAAGGGGAUCUGUUAGAGCAAUCGAAGCAGUGAACUUAAGCCCCAGUAAACGGCGGCCGUAACAAUAACGGUCCUAAGGUAGCGAAAUUCCUUGUCGGGUAAGUUCCGACCCGCACGAAAGGCGUAACGAUUUGGGCACUGUCUCAACAACAGACUCGGUGAAAUUGUAAUACCGGUGAAGAUGCCGGUUACCUGCGACAGGACGGAAAGACCCCAUGGAGCUUUACUGUAGCUUGACAUUGAGUCUCGGUGCUACAUGUACAGGAUAGGUGGGAGACUAUGAAGCAUGGACGUCAGUCUGUGUGGAGUCAUCCUUGGGAUACCACCCUUGUAGUACUGGGAUUCUAACCAGAGGCCAUGAAUCUGGUCUUGGGACACUGUCAGGUGGACAGUUUGACUAGGGCGGUCGCCUCCCAAAAAGUAACGGAGGCGCUCAAAGGUUCUCUCAGUACGGUCGGAAAUCGUACGAAGAGUGUAAAGGCAAAAGAGAGCUUGAUUGCAAGACAUACAGGUCGAGCAAGGACGAAAGUCGGACUUAGUGAUCCGGUGGUUCCGCAUGGAAGGGCCAUCGCUCAACGGAUAAAAGCUACCCUGGGGAUAACAGGCUGAUCUCCCCCAAGAGUCCACAUCGACGGGGAGGUUUGGCACCUCGAUGUCGGCUCAUCACAUCCUGGGGCUGUAGUAGGUCCCAAGGGUUGGGCUGUUCGCCCAUUAAAGUGGUACGCGAGCUGGGUUCAGAACGUCGUGAGACAGUUCGGUCCCUAUCCGUCGCAGGCGUAGGAAAUUUGAGGAGACCUGUCCUUAGUACGAGAGGACCGGGAUGGACGUACCGCUGGUGUACCAGUUGUUCUGCCAAGGGCAUGGCUGGGUAGCUAAGUACGGAAAGGAUAAGCGCUGAAAGCAUCUAAGCGCGAAGCCCACUUCAAGAUAAGAUUUCCCACCGCAAGGUUAAGAUCCCAGGAAGACUACCUGGUUGAUAGGUCAGAGGUGUAAGUGUAGUAAUAUAUUUAGCUUACUGAUACUAAUAGAUCGAGGACUUGAUC